UACGAAGGGUGCAAGCGUUACUCGGAAUUACUGGGCGUAAAGCGUGCGUAGGUGGUUGUUUAAGUCUGUUGUGAAAGCCCUGGGCUCAACCUGGGAACUGCAGUGGAAACUGGACAACUAGAGUGUGGUAGAGGGUAGCGGAAUUCCCGGUGUAGCAGUGAAAUGCGUAGAGAUGCGGAGGAACACCGAUGGCGAAGGCAGCCCCCUGGGCUGACACUGACGCUCAGGCACGAAAGCGUGGGGAGCAAACAGG
rnacentral:rRNA from 1 species